rnacentral:rRNA from 1 species
CCUACGGUGGGCAGCAGUGGGGAAUCUUGCACAAUGGGGGAAACCCUGAUGCCGCGACGCCGCGUGAGUGAUGAAGUAUUUCGGUAUGUAAAGCUCUUUCAGCAGGGAAGAUAAUGACGGUACCUGACUAAGAAGUUCCGGCUAAAUACGUUCCAGCAGCCGCGGUAAUACGCAUGGAGCAAGCGUUAUCCGGAUUUACUGGGUGUAAAGGGAGCGGAGACGGCAGGGCAAGUCUGAUGUGAAAGUCCGGGGCUAAACCCCGGGACUGCAUUGGAAACUGGCCGGCUAGGGGGCAGGAGAGUUAAGUGGAAUUCCUAGUGUAGCGGUGAAAUGCGUAGUUAUUAGGAGGAACACCAGUGGCGAAGGCGGCUUACUGGACUGUAACUGACGUUGAGGCUCGAAAGCGUGGGGAGCAAACAGGAUUAGAUACCCUGUAGUC